CUUGUGUAGUUCUCCUCUGAUUUUCUACAGUUUCUCUGUCUCUCUCUCCUUUUCUCACUAGAUUUCUUAGAUUCUUUCGCAAUUUUGUAGAAGAUAAUUAUUUCGCUCUGUCUUCUUUUCCUCCUAUUAUGGGUUUGUUGACAUCAACUUGUUUAUAGUUGUGUGUGUGUGUGUUUUUUACAUUCCCUAUAUAGCUCUUAAUCACAGCAGGAGGAAAAUUAAGUCUUACCCUCCAAUUAGUUUGAUUUUCAGGGAAUGAAUUUCUCCUGCUGGUAGCAUCCGAAAUAAGCUCGAUUUUGGAGAAAAAUAAGUCCUCUUUUGAAGCUUCAAUUUUGAGAAAGUUUCGUACUUCAUUUUCUUGACUAUCCGAUCCAAGUAAAAGCUCAGAGUGAUUUGUCCAGGGUGUAAGCAGGAUUGGAGUUUUCAGACGGCUGAUUGGCAAUUUUGAGGAUCACCCACAAAUCUUUCUUGGCAAUACUCCUGAGGAUCAUGCUGCCAUUACGUGGGUUCUCAUUGCCUAUUUGUUUUGAUAUUCUGAUGUUGGCUGGCUACCACCAGGCAGAUUUAUCCUUCUUGGUUUUUACUAAGAUGAUUUUAUUGCUAAAAAUAUUUGUAAAAACCUGAAGUACAAAUGUUGGCGACUAUCGAUGUGUAAUAUCAGCGAAUGUGCCAGGCCGUUGCUUCCCUUGGAAACAUACCAGGUAAUACCUAGAGUCUAAGUUCACUUCGAGCACAAAAAAAUAUGUGUGUUUCCUCUUCUUCUCCCACAUUUUCCCCCAAUACUCUCAUACAUAGAAAUAUGGAAAUCUAGCUAGCAUCUUAAGUGAAAUUCUCCGUCCUAUAAUCUGGUACAACAGGUGAAAUAGUGCUAGAGUACAAAAGCGAAAGCAAAUUCAUAUCAAAUAGCCAAAAUGCAGCUUAUCUAGAUUUCUUUUUUCUUUUCCUAACAAUGAAAAGGAAAAGAUCAACCAUGAUUAACUAAUUCCUUGAGUUCAUUAUAUCUAUGUGCCGUUGCACUCCUAUUCCUAUACAACUAUGUGUGAUAUUUGUAUGUACUCGCGACUUUAUUUACUGGUAGACGUCUUUUGGAGUGCGUGAAAUUUUAGCCUACAGCUUUUUGAAAGCUACAUCAAAGCACAAACGGUGAUGUAUGACAGAUAAUAGUUUGAAAGGUAUGUCAAUUACGACCAAACUAAUUUUGUUGUCUUGCUUCUAUCACUUCUCUCUAUUAUUUUUAUUUUGAAAGAAUGAGAUGGCUACACUAACAAAUAAUCCCCCCACGCUCACCAUUAUUUUUGUCGGAGGCAGGCAAAAAAGGAUCCUAACCACAGCAUGAUGGUUGCACUAUAUUUUGUAAAUAUGCCAAUAGUUUAGAUGUGAACAGAUUACUCCCAUGCAUGAAAAGUAUGUUCUGUUCGGCAACCACACAACAUCCAAGAAUGGACAUUUUGUUCCUUUAUGUAUGUAAAUAAUGUUUAGCAGUUAGUAUU